rnacentral:rRNA from 1 species
AUUGAACGCUGGCGGCAUGCCUUACACAUGCAAGUCGAACGGCAGCACGGGUGCUUGCACCUGGUGGCGAGUGGCGAACGGGUGAGUAAUACAUCGGAACAUGUCCUGUAGUGGGGGAUAGCCCGGCGAAAGCCGGAUUAAUACUGCAUACGAUCUACGGAUGAAAGCGGGGGACCUUCGGGCCUCGCGCUUUAGGGUUGGUCGAUGGCUGAUUAGCUAGUUGGUGGGGUAAAGGCCUACCAAGGCGACGAUCAGUAGCUGGUCUGAGAGGACGACCAGCCACACUGGGACUGAGACACGGCCCAGACUCCUACGGGAGGCAGCAGUGGGGAAUUUUGGACAAUGGGCGAAAGCCUGAUCCAGCAAUGCCGCGUGUGUGAAGAAGGCCUUCGGGUUGUAAAGCACUUUUGUCCGGAAAGAAAUCCUUGGCCCUAAUACGGUCGGGGGAUGACGGUACCGGAAGAAUAAGCACCGGCUAACUACGUG